UGGGGAAUUUUGGACAAUGGGGGCAACCCUGAUCCAGCAAUGCCGCGUGAGUGAAGAAGGCCUUCGGGUUGUAAAGCACUUUUGGCAGGGAAGAAACGGCGCCGGCUAAUACCGGGCGCAACUGACGGUACCUGCAGAAUAAGCACCGGCUAACUACGUGCCAGCAGCCGCGGUAAUACGUAGGGUGCAAGCGUUAAUCGGAAUUACUGGGCGUAAAGCGUGCGCAGGCGGUUGUGCAAGACCGAUGUGAAAUCCCCGGGCUUAACCUGGGAAUGGCAUUGGUGACUGCACGGCUAGAGUGUGUCAGAGGGGGGUAGAAUUCCACGUGUAGCAGUGAAAUGCGUAGAGAUGUGGAGGAAUACCGAUGGCGAAGGCAGCCCCCUGGGAUAACACUGACGCUCAUGCACGAAAGCGUGGGGAGCAAAC
rnacentral:rRNA from 1 species